rnacentral:rRNA from 1 species
AUUGAACGCUGGCGGCAGGCCUAACACAUGCAAGUCGAACGGUAACAGGAAGCAGCUUGCUGCUUCGCUGACGAGUGGCGGACGGGUGAGUAAUGUCUGGGAAGCUGCCUGAUGGAGGGGGAUAACUACUGGAAACGGUAGCUAAUACCGCAUAAUGUCGCAAGACCAAAGAGGGGGACCUUCGGGCCUCUUGCAAUCGGAUGUGCCCAGAUGGGAUUAGCUUGUUGGUGGGGUAACGGCUCACCAAGGCGACGAUCCCUAGCUGGUCUGAGAGGAUGACCAGCCACACUGGAACUGAGACACGGUCCAGACUCCUACGGGAGGCAGCAGUGGGGAAUAUUGCACAAUGGGCGCAAGCCUGAUGCAGCCAUGCCGCGUGUAUGAAGAAGGCCUUCGGGUUGUAAAGUACUUUCAGCGGGGAGGAAGGGAGUAAAGUUAAUACCUUUGCUCAUUGACGUUACCCGCAGAAGAAGCACCGGCUAACUCCGUG